rnacentral:lncRNA from 1 species
AUAUGUUGAAUGAGAGGAGUCAGAUACUUUAAUGAAGAAUCCAUGGUUCGGCCACAACUCCGAUCCACUCAAUACAGGUACGAUGCUGAUAACUUGUAGCAGCACGGACCUAUACUCGCCUCGAACUUUGACGUUCGAGUUUAUGCUCUGGAGAAGCUUUAUCAGCACUCCUGGUAUCAGAGAUGCCAUGACUUCAGAUCUGUAAGUAAUAACCAUAUAAACAGAAAGUUCAAAUUUACAAAAAUUUCCAGUUUUAUUGUAUCAUUGAUAUCAAGUUUGCAGAAUUGUCAGUAAUGUUAGAUCCACAAAUGAACAGGCUGCCAGAGUUCAGAACACUUGUUGUUACUUUUCUUUUCUUAUAAAUGCAAAUCUUUUUGCAGGUAUUCACUGCUUAGCUGGCUUAUGUGAUGCCAUGCCGGCUAAAGAAGUCAAAGCUUUUUAGCUAUUUGAAGAUCAUAAGAGUUGCAGAAAAUGUAUCAAUCUGCAAGCUAAGAAAUUAAACAAAGCAAAAGCACAAGUUGACCAGACUUACCUCAGAGAAGAAGAGAGCUUUGCAAUAAAGAAUGAAGAUUCUGAGAAGGGCUUAGAAGGGUGUUUGUGUUGCAGGAAUAUGACAGACAAAGUAAGUUCCUUUUGGUGAAAAAUCAGUGUGGCAGACCAAACAAGGGGGAGAAAUUCAUGGUUGAGACAAGUAAUCAUUCAUCAAAGGUUUCUUGGCUUUUAAGGCAAGUGACAAUCAUCAUUUGUUCCAAUUAACUAUUGUACCAAACAAACAUAAUCCUGAGCCUAAUGGGUUAUUUUUUUAAUUAGAAUAACUGAUGCUUGUUCCUGAAGGGAUUGUGGGUGGGAAAUGUUGAUAAUUUAAAUGUUAGGUGUGAUUAUAAACUAUAGGUAUGAUGGGGAAUUCGGUAGACCAGUUCCACUGAUUUCUCAAAUUUAAGGGCAGGUGGAGUAACGUAGAACAUCACAAUCGCAAAUUUACCUGUUUGUUGCGACGGAAAAAUUAAUCGGGUCACAAGUUUAUUG